rnacentral:rRNA from 1 species
CAUGACGCAGCUACACAUGCAAGUCGAGCGGUAACAGGUCCAGCUUGCUGGAUGCUGACGAGCGGCGGACGGGUGAGUAACGCAUAGGAAUCUACCCGGUAGUGGGGGAUAACCUGGGGAAACCCAGGCUAAUACCGCAUACGUCCUACGGGAGAAAGGGGGCUUCGGCUCCCGCUAUUGGAUGAGCCUAUGCCGGAUUAGCUGGUUGGUGAGGUAAUGGCUCACCAAGGCGACGAUCCGUAGCUGGUCUGAGAGGAUGAUCAGCCACAUCGGGACUGAGACACGGCCCGAACUCCUACGGGAGGCAGCAGUGGGGAAUAUUGGACAAUGGGGGCAACCCUGAUCCAGCCAUGCCGCGUGUGUGAAGAAGGCCCUCGGGUUGUAAAGCACUUUCAGCGAGGAAGAACGCCUGUCGGUUAAUACCCGGCAGGAAAGACAUCACUCGCAGAAGAAGCACCGGCUAACUCCGUGCCAGCAGCCGCGGUAAUACGGAGGGUGCAAGCGUUAAUCGGAAUUACUGGGCGUAAAGCGCGCGUAGGUGGCUUGAUAAGCCGGUUGUGAAAGCCCCGGGCUCAACCUGGGAACGGCAUCCGGAACUAUUAGGCUA